GCAAUUGACUUCCAUUUUAUUGUCUUUUAGUCCUUUUGGCAGUAAAUGAAUGGCUUGAGUGAGUGUUGAGCAGUUUAAUCUGCACCUUCAGGGAGACAGUUCUUUCAGUAACUCCACCUGAUGCCUUGCAGUGUCAAGGGAGGCUCAGCUUUGUUCUGACAGCAUUAUAGUGGAGACUUGGGCUUUCUUUUGGUGGAAUUAUUCUGCAGCCAGUUGUACAAAUAAAUGAGUAACCUAUCUGAAACAAGAUAGAAAUUGAUGUCUCACAUGCCUCCAUGAUGUUAGGAAUCCAUGUUUUAUCCUCUAGCUCCAUCAUCCACAUGAUCUUCAUUUCCAUGUGUUUCUCUAGGCCUAUGAUAGCUUCUCUAGCUAUCAUACUCCAAUCAGCAAAAAAUGAGAAAAUGUUGAGAAAUAGAAGAUAAUUCCUCAUUUAAGGCCACCUUCUAGAAUUUGUGCUUAAGAUUCUGUUUUCUUCUCAUGGGCCAGCACUUCGGCAACUGGCAAAAAUUAGGUGUACAGGGAUCUAGGUAAUGCUGUUUAUUUGAGCAAUAAUAUAUUGUGCUAACGUUCAGGCAUCCUAUUACUGAGAAAUAAGGGAAAAUGAGUGUAAAGUACAACUAAGAGUCUCGGCUACAGGGAAAAAUACCAUCAGUUAAAUAUCCAUAGUCCUAGAGAAUUUAUAUAAAACUGCAAUUUGAAUCCUGCAAUAAAUUUUGGCUUUUUCCUCAGUGAUACCAUGUGUGGGAAGUUGUUCUGUCAAGGUGGGUCGGAUAAUUUGCCCUGGAAAGGACGGAUAGUGACUUUCCUGACAUGUAAAACAUUUGAUCCUGAAGACACAAGUCAAGAAAUAGGCAUGGUGGCCAAUGGAACUAAGUGUGGUGAUAACAAGGUUUGCAUUAAUGCAGAAUGUGUGGAUAUUGAGAAAGCCUACAAAUCAACCAAUUGCUCAUCUAAGUGCAAAGGACAUGCUGUGUGUGACCAUGAGCUCCAGUGUCAAUGUGAGGAAGGAUGGAGCCCUCCUGACUGCGAUGACUCCUCAGUGGUCUUCCACUUCUCCAUUGUGGUUGGGGU
rnacentral:sRNA from 1 species